CCUACGGGCGGCAGCAGUAGGGAAUAUUGCUCAAUGGGGGAAACCCUGAAGCAGCAACGCCGCGUGGAGGAUGAAGGUUUUCGGAUUGUAAACUCCUUUUGUUAGAGAAGAUAAUGACGGUAUCUAACGAAUAAGCACCGGCUAACUCCGUGCCAGCAGCCGCGGUAAUACGGAGGGUGCAAGCGUUACUCGGAAUCACUGGGCGUAAAGAGCGCGUAGACGGGAUAGCAAGUCAGAUGUGAAAUCCUAUGGCUUAACCAUAGAACUGCAUUUGAAACUGUUAUUCUAGAGUAUGGGAGAGGUAGGUGGAAUGCUUGGUGUAGGGGUAAAAUCCGUAGAGAUCAAGAAGAAUACUCAUUGCGAAGGCGACCUGCUGGAACAUAACUGACGCUGAUGCGCGAAAGCGUGGGGAGCAAACAGGAUUAGAUACCCUAGUAGUC
rnacentral:rRNA from 1 species